GGCUGUCGUCAGCUCGUGUCGUGAGAUGUUGGGUUAAGUCCCGCAACGAGCGCAACCCUCGCCCUUAGUUGCCAGCAUUUAGUUGGGCACUCUAAGGGGACUGCCGGUGAUAAGCCGAGAGGAAGGUGGGGAUGACGUCAAGUCCUCAUGGCCCUUACGGGCUGGGCUACACACGUGCUACAAUGGUGGUGACAAUGGGCAGCGAAGGGGCGACCUGGAGCUAAUCCCCAAAAACCGUCUCAGUUCGGAUUGUACUCUGCAACUCGAGUGCAUGAAGGUGGAAUCGCUAGUAAUCGUGGAUCAGCAUGCCACGGUGAAUACGUUCCCGGGCCUUGUACACACCGCCCGUCACACCAUGGGAGUUGGUUUUACCCGAAGGUGGUGAGCUAACCCAAGGGAAGCAGCCAACCACGGUAAGGUCAGCGACUGGGGAAGUCGUAAGGUAACCAAGGGCGAUUCGCGGCCGCAUAUUC
rnacentral:rRNA from 1 species